GAUGAACGCUGGCGGCGUGCCUAAUACAUGCAAGUCGAGCGAACAGACGAGGAGCUUGCUCCUCUGACGUUAGCGGCGGACGGGUGAGUAACACGUGGAUAACCUACCUAUAAGACUGGGAUAACUUCGGGAAACCGGAGCUAAUACCGGAUAAUAUAUUGAACCGCAUGGUUCAAUAGUGAAAGACGGUUUUGCUGUCACUUAUAGAUGGAUCCGCGCCGAAUUAGCUAGUUGGUAAGGUAACGGCUUACCAAGGCAACGAUUCGUAGCCGACCUGAGAGGGUGAUCGGCCACACUGGAACUGAGACACGGUCCAGACUCCUACGGGAGGCAGAAGUAGGGAAUCUUCCGCAAUGGGCGAAAGCCUGACGGAGCAACGCCGCGUGAGUGAUGAAGGUCUUCGGAUCGUAAAACUCUGUUAUUAGGGAAGAACAAAUGUGUAAGUAACUAUGCACGUCUUGACGGCACCUAAUCAGAAAGCCACGGCUAACUACGUG
rnacentral:rRNA from 1 species